rnacentral:rRNA from 1 species
UGAGGAAUAUUGGUCAAUGGGCGAGAGCCUGAACCAGCCAAGUAGCGUGCAGGAUGACGGCCCUAUGGGUUGUAAACUGCUUUUAUGCGGGGAUAACGUGCACCACGUGUGGUGUAUUGCAGGUACCGCAUGAAUAAGGACCGGCUAAUUCCGUGCCAGCAGCCGCGGUAAUACGGAAGGUCCGGGCGUUAUCCGGAUUUAUUGGGUUUAAAGGGAGCGUAGGCCGCUGUUUAAGCGUGUUGUGAAAAACCGGGGCUCAACUCCGGUCGUGCAGCGCGAACUGGACGGC